GUAAGGGGAAAGAACUCAUUAAUCUAAUGCAAACAUGGCGGCGAUCCGGGGAAGAUCUAGUUUUGUGUUUACAAAAAGAUUGUUUGUUCACUGUUGGUCACUUAAGUGGGAAAAACUGAUUGGAUAAAGAUAUUAAACAGUCUUUAUAGUACUGGUGAAAUAGGAGACUCAUCUGAUUGUGGAAGUUUGUGUAGUGGAAAGAAGGAGUUACAUACAGAUGCUGUUUUGAAUCAUAAGAAAUGACUGAUAUUAAUUCAUUUCUUCAAUUCCUCAUUAGCUUCUUCACAAGGAAUAAAUUGUGUAAGGAGUUCU